GCAGGGCAUGGCCUGCAUUCCAAAUUUUGUUAUUCUCAAAGGUCAAUUGUUCUCACUGGCAGACAACAGAAGCCAAGACUUGCUAAGUAAAACAGAAGACAAAUUUGCUGGAAGGACAUGUGAAAAUGGGCACAAAUUAGGGAGCAAGGUCAUACUUGCAUCACUGCUGUUAGGCUGCUACCACUGACUCCUCUGCUCCUGCACUCCCAACAGCACCAUCAAGAAAAACCCCACACACAGUUCCUUCAUCUUUGCCUUACUUGCUGAAGAUUAGAAGUCCCAGACAUAUCAGGAAUACUGAGACAACUAUUACUACAAAACUCUAUAAUUCACAAGAACACUUGCAGAUACAAACUAGGAUACUGGAUGGCAUGCAGAAUCUUUGGAAGAACAACCAGAUUGCCAGGCAACACAGCUAGAAAAGUGCCCCAAAUCUCACCACAGAACAGAUUUAAUGAAAAUCGCACUUCUGCACUGCUGGGCCAUUAUUACUAUGACC